UACGAAGGGUGCAAGCGUUACUCGGAAUUACUGGGCGUAAAGCGUGCGUAGGUGGUUUGUUAAGUCUGAUGUGAAAGCCCUGGGCUCAACCUGGGAAUGGCAUUGGAAACUGGCUGACUAGAGUGCGGUAGAGGGUAGUGGAAUUCCCGGUGUAGCAGUGAAAUGCGUAGAUAUCGGGGAGGAACAUCUGUGGCGAAGGCGACUACCUGGACCAGCACUGACACUGAGGCACGAAAGCGUGGGGAGCAAACAGG
rnacentral:rRNA from 1 species